AGCCUCGUACCUCAGCUGGUAGAGCGUGCGCGUACAAAGCGUAGGCGGCGUCCAUGUGGGGGUUUCGAAUCCCACCGAGGCUA
rnacentral:tRNA from 1 species